rnacentral:tRNA from 1 species
GGCUUAUCGGUAUAGCACCGGACUCAAAAUCCGGAGGUAGAGGUUCAAACCCUCUC